rnacentral:rRNA from 1 species
UACGGAGGGUGCAAGCGUUAUCCGGAUUCACUGGGUUUAAAGGGUGCGCAGGCGGGCUAUUAAGUCCGUGGUGAAAUCCCGGGGCUCAACCCCGGAACUGCCAUGGAUACUAUUAGUCUUGAAUAUUGUUGAGGUGGGCGGAAUAGGUCAUGUAGCGGUGAAAUGCAUAGAUAUGACCUAGAACACCGAUUGCGAAGGCAGCUCACUGGACAAUGAUUGACGCUCAGGCACGAAAGCGUGGGGAUCAAACAGG